CGACAGCAAUAUGAAGGUCAGGCUGAAGACCUUACCCGAUUAGCUGAGAGGUGGUGCAUGGCCGUCGUCAGUUCGUACUGUGAAGCAUCCUGUUAAGUCAGGCAACGAGCGAGACCCACGUCCACAGUUGCCAGCAUACCCUCCGGGGUGAUGGGUACACUGUGGAGACCGCCGCUGCUAAAGCGGAGGAGGGAGUGGGCAACGGUAGGUCAGUAUGCCCCGAAUCUCCCGGGCUACACGCGGGCUACAAUGGUUGGUACAAUGGGCAUCUACCCCGAAAGGGGAAGGAAAUCUCUUAAAGCCAAUCGUAGUUCGGAUUGAGGGCUGCAACUCGCCCUCAUGAAGCUGGAAUCCGUAGUAAUCGCGUUUCAACAGAACGCGGUGAAUACGUCCCUGCUCCUU
rnacentral:rRNA from 1 species